UGGGGAAUCUUGCGCAAUGGGCGAAAGCCUGACGCAGCGACGCCGCGUGAGUGAUGAAGGCCUUCGGGUUGUAAAGCUCUGUGGAGGGGGACGAAUAAGUGUUGGCUAAUAUCCAGCAUGAUGACGGUACCCUUUUAGCAAGCACCGGCUAACUCUGUGCCAGCAGCCGCGGUAAGACAGAGGGUGCAAACGUUGUUCGGAAUUACUGGGCGUAAAGCGCGUGUAGGCUGCUUGGAAAGUCGGAUGUGAAAGCCCUGGGCUUAACCCAGGAAGUGCACUCGAAACUUCCAAGCUCGAGUCCUGGAGAGGGUGGCGGAAUUCUCGGUGUAGAGGUGAAAUUCGUAGAUAUCGAGAGGAACACCGGUGGCGAAGGCGGCUACCUGGACAGUGACUGACGCUGAGACGCGAAAGCGUGGGGAGCAAACAGGAUUAGAUACCCCUGUAGUCC
rnacentral:rRNA from 1 species